UUAGCCGAGUGGCUAUUCUUGUCUAUUCCCCUAAAAUAAAAUAGAGUAAAUACAUUAAUUAAAGAAAUGAGGCCUUAAUUUCUUAGGGGCCUCAAGCCCUUGCGUCAGUUGCUUGGGCCCUUGAGCGCUGCACCUUCUUUUCUGGUAUGAAACAUUGGCAAUUAUUAUUUACUCUAUAGGAUGCCAUGCUACCUAAAUCAGAGGUUAGCACAAAAAAGUUCCGAUUACUUCAGUCGUACUGAUUAUUAAACAUGUAGAGAAGUUGUAAAAUUUGUGGCACGUUUUGGUUUGUACUUAUACAAAUUAAUUAAUACAAGUUUGCAAUCAGCAAACAGUUAUUUUCAUAUGUCAGGAUUGACCUAUAGUCACCCGCGCACAAGUUUGCAGUUACAUCAGAAGAGAGUUUCAGCUUCUCAUCUGCAGUUAUCUUUCCCAGAAUCAAUUGAGAGAUCCAGACAAACGACUUUGAAUUAGCCAGGACGCUUCAGAUAAAACAUUGUCUGGAAAACAAUCAUGUGUCUGCAGGCUGUCACGAGUUGGUUUAGAACAUCAACGACAAAUUUGAUUAAGAAGACUUCCACUGCCUGCAUAGUCCUUGCAUUUCUCAGGGUUCUCUUUCCAACUGAAAAAGGUCUAACCCUUCCAAGUUUCCAUAUCCCUGAUUGCUACUAUAUAUUUCAUUUAUUAUCAGCUCAUAAAGAGGAAACUCCGAGAUUUUCUCUCUGUGUAUGCUAUAUAACGAAGUGUUCUAUUUUUCAAAUUUUUAUUUUGUAUUUUUGGCAUGAUUAUAAUUAUUAGCAACUACGUAUACU